rnacentral:rRNA from 1 species
UAACAGGUCUUCGGAUGCUGACGAGUGGCGAACGGGUGAGUAAUACAUCGGAACGUGCCCGAGAGUGGGGGAUAACGAGGCGAAAGCUUUGCUAAUACCGCAUACGAUCUACGGAUGAAAGCAGGGGACCGCAAGGCCUUGCGCUCAUGGAGCGGCCGAUGGCAGAUUAGGUAGUUGGUGGGAUAAAAGCUUACCAAGCCGACGAUCUGUAGCUGGUCUGAGAGGAUGAUCAGCCACACUGGGACUGAGACACGGCCCAGACUCCUACGGGAGGCAGCAGUGGGGAAUUUUGGACAAUGGGCGAAAGCCUGAUCCAGCCAUGCCGCGUGCAGGAUGAAGGCCUUCGGGUUGUAAACUGCUUUUGUACGGAACGAAAAGACUCUUUCUAAUAAAGAGGGUCCAUGACGGUACCGUAAGAAUAAGCACCGGCUAACUACGUGCCAGCAGCCGCGGUAAUACGUAGGGUGCAAGCGUUAAUCGGAAUUACUGGGCGUAAAGCGUGCGCAGGCGGUUAUGUAAGACAGAUGUGAAAUCCCCGGGCUCAACCUGGGAACUGCAUUUGUGACUGCA